rnacentral:rRNA from 1 species
GAUGAACGCUGGCGGCGUGCCUAAUACAUGCAAGUCGAGCGAACGGACGAGAAGCUUGCUUCUCUGAUGUUAGCGGCGGACGGGUGAGUAACACGUGGAUAACCUACCUAUAAGACUGGGAUAACUUCGGGAAACCGGAGCUAAUACCGGAUAAUAUUUUGAACCGCAUGGUUCAAAAGUGAAAGACGGUCUUGCUGUCACUUAUAGAUGGAUCCGCGCUGCAUUAGCUAGUUGGUAAGGUAACGGCUUACCAAGGCAACGAUGCAUAGCCGACCUGAGAGGGUGAUCGGCCACACUGGAACUGAGACACGGUCCAGACUCCUACGGGAGGCAGCAGUAGGGAAUCUUCCGCAAUGGGCGAAAGCCUGACGGAGCAACGCCGCGUGAGUGAUGAAGGUCUUCGGAUCGUAAAACUCUGUUAUUAGGGAAGAAYAUAUGUGUAAGUAACUGUGCACAUCUUGACGGUACCUAAUCAGAAAGCCACGGCUAACUACGUGCCAGCAGCCGCGGUAAUACGUAGGUGGCAAGCGUUAUCCGGAAUUAUUGGGCGUAAAGCGCGCGUAGGCGGUUUUUUAAGUCUGAUGUGAAAGCCCACGGCUCAACCGUGGAGGGUCAUUGGAAACUGGAAAACUUGAGUGCAGAAGAGGAAAGUGGAAUUCCAUGUGUAGCGGUGAAAUGCGCAGAGAUAUGGAGGAACACCAGUGGCGAAGGCGRCUUUCUGGUCUGUAACUGACGCUGAUGUGCGAAAGCGUGGGGAUCAAACAGGAUUAGAUACCCUGGUAGUCCACGCCGUAAACGAUGAGUGCUAAGUGUUAGGGGGUUUCCGCCCCUUAGUGCUGCAGCUAACGCAUUAAGCACUCCGCCUGGGGAGUACGACCGCAAGGUUGAAACUCAAAGGAAUUGACGGGGACCCGCACAAGCGGUGGAGCAUGUGGUUUAAUUCGAAGCAACGCGAAGAACCUUACCAAAUCUUGACAUCCUUUGACAACUCUAGAGAUAGAGCYUUCCCCUUCGGGGGACAAAGUGACAGGUGGUGCAUGGUUGUCGUCAGCUCGUGUCGUGAGAUGUUGGGUUAAGUCCCGCAACGAGCGCAACCCUUAAGCUUAGUUGCCAUCAUUAAGUUGGGCACUCUAAGUUGACUGCCGGUGACAAACCGGAGGAAGGUGGGGAUGACGUCAAAUCAUCAUGCCCCUUAUGAUUUGGGCUACACACGUGCUACAAUGGACAAUACAAAGGGCAGYGAAACCGYGAGGUCAAGCAAAUCCCAUAAAGUUGUUCUCAGUUCGGAUUGUAGUCUGCAACUCGACUACAUGAAGCUGGAAUCGCUAGUAAUCGUAGAUCAGCAUGCUACGGUGAAUACGUUCCCGGGUCUUGUACACACCGCCCGUCACACCACGAGAGUUUGUAACACCCGAAGCCGGUGGAGUAACCUUUUAGGAGCUAGCCGUCGAAGGUGGGACAAAUGAUUGGGGUGAAGUCGUAACAAGGUAGCCGUAUCGGAAGGUGC